rnacentral:tRNA from 1 species
CUGAGGAUGCAUCUCAGAGGUAGGGCACUUGCCUAGUAUGUAAAAGGCCCUGGGUUCAAUCCCCAGUGUCACAGA